rnacentral:lncRNA from 1 species
GAGAGAGAGAGAGAGGCACCAAAGGUAAUGUUUCUCAUUCUCCAAAAUUCAAGCUUAUCUUGCAAAGUAUCCUCUUGACCUGCAGUAUGAGAGUCAGAGCUAGACAAAGCUCUAGGUCAUUGCAUGUAUUGAAGUGGCUGGGAUUGUAAUUUGCAGAAGGCCGUGUACUUUUGUGGCCUCAGUAUGUCUUAGUAGGUAUACUUUUUUCAUAUUAUGCAUGAUAUUUAGGCCCUAUUUGGGGAAGCUUUUGGAGGGCCAAAAAGCACUUUCUGACCCUCCAAAAG